AGUGAACGCUGGCGGUAGGCCUAACACAUGCAAGUCGAACGGCAGCACAGCAAGAGCUUGCUCUUACGGGUGGCGAGUGGCGGACGGGUGAGGAAUACAUCGGAAUCUACUUUUUCGUGGGGGAUAACGUAGGGAAACUUACGCUAAUACCGCAUACGACCUACGGGUGAAAGCAGGGGAUCUUCGGACCUUGCGCGAUUGAAUGAGCCGAUGUCGGAUUAGCUAGUUGGCGGGGUAAAGGCCCACCAAGGCGACGAUCCGUAGCUGGUCUGAGAGGAUGAUCAGCCACACUGGAACUGAGACACGGUCCAGACUCCUACGGGAGGCAGCAGCGGGGAAUAUUGGACAAUGGGCGCAAGCCUGAUCCAGCCAUACCGCGUGGGUGAAGAAGGCCUUCGGGUUGUAAAGCCCUUUUGUUGGGAAAGAAAAGCAGCAGGUUAAUACCCCGCUGUUCUGACGGUACCCAAAGAAUAAGCACCGGCUAACUUCGUG
rnacentral:rRNA from 1 species